rnacentral:lncRNA from 1 species
AAAGGAGCUCAGCUGCAUGCUGCUUCCCUCCAGCCCUGCAAUGGGCAGCCCAAAGUGGGGGUAGAGAGCUUUCUUCUAUAAUGGAUCUAAAUAGAGAUGCCUUGUUCUUCAAACAUGUUGAGGCUGGCCGAGAGCAUCCUUGAUAGGAUGCAGGUGGAGGAGGAUGGGACCAGCUGCUGGGAAGGAGCUGGGGCCAACAGUGGAGGCUCAAGGUGCACCUGAGAGGAGAGCUGAGGCGCUGCAGCAGGAACAGCCACCAGCACAUCGCUGCGGAUGGGAGGGAGGAAGGGCAGAGGCAGCACAGUGCCCAGCAGCCCUCAGGGAUCGGGGUGCACCCGGGGUCAUCCUGUGCUCCUUCCCCCAGCGCUGACAUGGGAACGGCCCCAGUGCAGCCACCCACCGCCGCUCGCUGUGAUCCAGGGUCCUGAGCUGACCUCGCUCUGCUGCACCCACGCAGGGCAGGGAUGGCUGAAUUACUGCUCCCUGCUGCGCUCUGUACAUCCUCCUCCUGGCCGGGUGGCCUCAGGAUCUGUGGGGCUGGAUGGCUGCGUGCUCUCAGGUCAAACAGUAGCUCCAUUUUUUCCCUUGUGAAGGACCAAGAGCUUGCCCUGGUUCCAAGGAAGUAGCUGUGGAUUUUAAUUUAAUUUUAUUUUUUCCCUCCUCCGUUCUUCUUUCUGAAUCUUUUUGGGAUUUUGGGCUCUUAAUGAGGAUGCUUGGACCAGCACAGGGUGCAGCCCCAUGCAGAGGGGUGAACGCCUCUGGAGAAGCAAUGGGAGCAGCACACCAAGAGCUGGCAACCGCAGUGCCUUGGGUCUGAAACUGGGAGCUGUGUCCCUUCACAUCGCAUGGCUGCAUCCUCCCCAGCACAUCCCAUAGGGAUUAGGUGGGAUUCUGGGGGGCGCAAGGCCAAACCGCAGUGAGGGGAACGUCAAGAAGGGAAAAAUGUCACCCUCAGAAACAAUUAAACUGCUUAAUAAAAUCCGUUGCCUCUCGGAGUGCUCGCUGUUCUUUUCCGUUUGCCUUGGCUCAGCCACACUUACAUCAUGGCCCUAUCGCGGUGCUGCCGAGUGGACGGGUUUGAUUGCACAGGAAACCGGCGCUUUGGCAAACUUCUCUGCCCCGGUAAAGCCAGGCCAAGAGCUUAAUGCCUUUGCUUUGCAGAAAAAAAUCUUCCCUGUCCUUUCCCUCUUUCCUUUCUGCAACCCCUUAACCAUCACCCGCCAACUAGGCGGCCACCCCUCACAUGCCUCCUGCUCCAAAGCGCCUGAGAUGCAGAUUAAUUCCCCUUAAAUCAUGUUGUUUCACGUCCGUGGACCGUGUGUCCCCUCCCACCCUGUAGAGCUGAAGCACUGGAAGGUGCUGUGUGGAAACUGCAACGUUAAAAAAGGAUAUUUAUGUAAUGGAAAUGUCCUUUGAUUUUUUUUUUUUU